rnacentral:rRNA from 1 species
UGGCUCAGGAUGAACGCUGGCGGCGUGCCUAAUACAUGCAAGUCGAGCGAACUGAUUAGAAGCUUGCUUCUAUGACGUUAGCGGCGGACGGGUGAGUAACACGUGGGCAACCUGCCUGUAAGACUGGGAUAACUUCGGGAAACCGAAGCUAAUACCGGAUAGGAUCUUCUCCUUCAUGGGAGAUGAUUGAAAGAUGGUUUCGGCUAUCACUUACAGAUGGGCCCGCGGUGCAUUAGCUAGUUGGUGAGGUAACGGCUCACCAAGGCAACGAUGCAUAGCCGACCUGAGAGGGUGAUCGGCCACACUGGGACUGAGACACGGCCCAGACUCCUACGGGAGGCAGCAGUAGGGAAUCUUCCGCAAUGGACGAAAGUCUGACGGAGCAACGCCGCGUGAGUGAUGAAGGCUUUCGGGUCGUAAAACUCUGUUGUUAGGGAAGAACAAGUACAAGAGUAACUGCUUGUACCUUGACGGUACCAACCAGAAA